AUAGUAAAAAUAUAAUUAAGUAUAAUUGCAAAUUAAAUAAAAAAAUUGAAGAAACUGAUUUAUAUAAUGAACAAUCUGUAACAUGCGUAGCUCAUAAUAUUAGUAAUAAUGAUUACAUAUUAAAAAAUAAUUCAAUCGGGACUAAUAGCAGUAGUAAUAGUAGUAACACUAAUGUUAUCAAUAAUAACGUUAAGAAUAAAUACAAAUCUGAAGAAUAUGAUUUUACGACUAACUAUGUAUUUAAUUCUGUAUCUACAAUGUUACAAAGUGAAACAAAUAAUAAGGUAUUAGUAAAAGAUUUAUUACAAAACCAUAAUAACUUAAAAAAACAAUCACAUUCUACCAAUAGUUUGAAUGCUGCUAAUGCUACUAUUACCAAUAUUAAUGUUAACUAUAAUAAAUAUUUUAACAAUUAUGAAAACCAGUCAAUCAAGAAAGAUAAAUUAGAAUAUAAUAGCAACACCAACAACAUAUUUAAGACAUCAUAUGGAGAUAACUACUCAUCUUUAUAUACUCCAUUGAAGGUUACCCCAUUAAAAUAUGAUAAAAAUAAUUUGAAUUCGAUAGAUAAAAGUCUUAUUAAAAAUGAUUUGUUUAAUUAUAAUACUUCAAAUGUCUUGUUAGAGUAUCAUGGUGACAGUACACAACAAAACCAAGAUGACGAUGGAUAUUUAAAUGCAUAUGAUAGACAUGUAAAUACACAUGAUAGACAUGUAAAUACACAUGAUAGACAUGUAAAUACACAUGAUAGACAUGUAAAUACACAUGAUAGACAUACGAAAAAGUUUGAACAUGGAAAAAAAAUUAAGCAUCUAAACAGACAAGUAAGUAUAUAUGAUAAUAAAAAAAAGGAACUAAUUUAUUGUUAUUCUUUUAUAAAGUAUAAGUCAUGGUUAAAAGCUUUAAAAAUAUUAAAUUUACCUAUAGAUGCAUUUCAUUUGGGUAUUAAUGUGCAUAAGCACAUUCAACAUGGUCCUAACAGUAGCAGCAGUAACAGCAGUAAUAGCAGUAGCAGUAGUAACAACAAUAACAACAAUAAUAACAAUAACAACAAUAAUAACAAUAACAACAAUAACAACGAUAACAGUAACAAGGACUCAUUUCUUUAUAAAUACAAUAUACAUAACAUAUUAAAUGAUAAACAUUUUUCACAUUAUCGAAUAAGUAGAAUGAUGGUAAUAAUAAAAAGUAUUAAAUGUCGUAGUCAUGGAUACUUUAUAGUUACGAUGGACCCCUCCGGACAAAUGGCUGCUUGUUUGCAUAAAGAAGUGGAAAAGGAAUAUCAAAAAUUAAUAGAUGUGGGAUCAACUUUAUUAUUAAAGAAUGUUACCAUCUUUGAAAGUA
rnacentral:lncRNA from 1 species